rnacentral:tRNA from 32 species
GGAAGCGUGGCAGAGCGGUUGAAUGCAACGGUCUUGAAAACCGUCGAAGGGGAAACUCUUCCGUGAGUUCGAAUCUCACCGCUUCCGCCA